rnacentral:rRNA from 1 species
UCUAACACAUGCAAGUCGAGCGGGACGAUUUGUGACACAGAGUAGAGAAGAUUUCUUCUACAUUCUGUGUCACAGAGAGUUUAGCGGCAAACGGGUGCGUAACACGUUGAUACUUCCCCCAGAGUCAGGGAUAACCUAGAGAAAUCUAGAUUAAUACCGGAUGGUCCCGAAAGGGUAAAGGAGCAAUUCGCUCUGGGAAAGGUCUGCGGCCUAUCAGCUAGUUGGCGGGGUAAUAGCCCACCAAGGCAAUGACGGGUAGCUGGUCUGAGAGGACGGCCAGCCACAAUGGAACUGAGACACGGUCCAUACUCCUACGGGAGGCAGCAGUGAGGAAUCUUCAAGAAUGGGCGAAAGCCUGAUGGAGCGA